rnacentral:rRNA from 1 species
AUUAAGCGCACACGGUGGAUGCCUUGGCGAUAACAGGCGAUGAAGGACGUGGUAGUCUGCGAAAAGCUUCGGAGAGUCGACAAACAGGCUGUGAUCCGAAGAUGUCCGAAUGGGGAAACCCACCUCUUAGAGGUAUUUACACCUGAAUCUAUAGGGUGUAGAGGCGAACCUAGGGAACUGAAACAUCUAAGUACCUAGAGGAAAAGAAAUCAACCGAGAUUCCGUUAGUAGCGGCGAGCGAACGCGGAACAGCCCAGUCACAUAAAACUUAAUACGUUUAGCAGAACGACUUGGAAAAGUCGGCGAUACAGGGUGAUAGUCCCGUAUGCGAAAAGCAUGUUAAGUGGGUGACUAAAAAGUAAGGCGGGACACGUGAUAUCCUGUCUGAAGAAUCUCCUUCGGGAGAGUGGGGGGACCAUCCUCCAAGGCUAAAUACUCGUUAUCGACCGAUAGUGAACUAGUACCGUGAGGGAAAGGCGAAAAGAACCCCUGUUAGGGGAGUGAAAUAGAACCUGAAACCGUGUGCGUACAAGCAGUGGGAGCAUAGUUUAGCUAUGUGACUGCGUACCUUUUGUAUAAUGGGUCAGCGACUUACUUUCAGUGGCAAGCUUAACCGAAUAGGGGAGGCGUAGGGAAACCGAGUCUUAAUAGGGCGAAUUAGUCGCUGGGAGUAGACCCGAAACCGAGCGAUCUAUCCAUGGUCAGGGUGAAGAUGGGGUAAUUCCUAUUGGAGGCCCGAACCCACUUAUGUUGAAAAAUGAGGGGAUGAACUGUGGAUAGGAGUGAAAGGCUAAUCAAGCUCGGAGAUAGCUGGUUCUCCUCGAAAGCUAUUUAGGUAGCGCCUCGUGUCUCACUCUCGGGGGUAGAGCACUGUUACGGCUAGGGGGCCAUCUCGGCUUACCAAACCGUUGCAAACUCCGAAUACCGAGAAGUGCAAUCACGGGAGACACACGGCGGGUGCUAAGGUCCGUCGUGGAAAGGGAAACAGCCCAGACCGCCAGCUAAGGUCCCAAAAUCAUGGCUCAGUGGGAAACGAUGUGGGAAGGCAUAGACAGCCAGGAGGUUGGCUUAGAAGCAGCCAUCCUUUAAAGAAAGCGUAAUAGCUCACUGGUCUAGUCGGCCUGCGCGGAAGAUUUAACGGGGCUUAAGCCAUGUACCGAAGCUGCGGAUACCCCUUUAGGGGUAUGGUAGAGGAGCGUUCUGUAAGCCUGUGAAGGUGUGUUGUAAGACAUGCUGGAGGUAUCAGAAGUGCGAAUGCUGACAUGAGUAGCGAUAAUGAGUGUGAAAGACAUUCACGCCGAAAGUCCAAGGUUUCCUCGCGCAACGUUAAUCGGCGCAGGGUGAGUCGGCCCCUAAGGCGAGGCAGAAAUGCGUAGUCGAUGGGAAACAGGUUAAUAUUCCUGUACUUCAGGUUAUUGCGAAGGGGGGACGGAGAAGGCUAGACCAUCAGGAGAUUGGUUGUUCCUGUUCAAGGUUGUAGGCAGAGUACUUAGGUAAAUCCGGGUACUUAAUGCUGAGAACUGACGACGAGGUCUCUUUUUAGAGUACCGAAGUGGUUAAUGCCAUGCUUCCAAGAAAAGCCUCUAAGCCUCAGAUAACUUGGAACCGUACCCAAAACCGACACAGGUGGACAGGGUGAGAAUCCCAAGGCGCUUGAGAGAACUCGGGUGAAGGAACUAGGCAAAAUAGCACCGUAACUUCGGGAGAAGGUGUGCCCUUGGUACGUGAAAGGACUUGCUCCUGGAGCGGAAGAGGGUUGCAGUGACCAGGUGGCUGCGACUGUUUAUUAAAAACAUAGCACUCUGCAAACACGAAAGUGGACGUAUAGGGUGUGACGCCUGCCCGGUGCCGGAAGGUUAAUUGAUGAUGUUAGGGCAACCGAAGCAUUUGAUCGAAGCCCCGGUAAACGGCGGCCGUAACUAUAAAUAUAAUGACCGAUUGUAGUUACGCUAAAAAACUUGGCUAUAUGCUGGAAACGCCGAAGUAUCCUCCAGUACUCGUCUCAAGAUGAGACAGUGACAAUCUGUGAGGUGCGGUCAAUCAGCAGGAAAGAUUUCUAAAAUAAUAGAAUACUAUUAUGUUAAAGGUAAACGAAAUUCCUAAUCAAAUUGGUUAUUACCUUGCCGGUUUUACCGAUGGCGAGGGGAGUUUUAAUAUAUCCUUUCGUAAAAGGAAAGAUUAUCAGAUGCCGUGGAAAAUUUCACUGUGUUUUAAUGUAUCGCAGCGUGACAAAGUCAUUUUAGCUUUGUUCAAGCAACAUUUAAAAUGUGGUACGUUACGCAGUAGAGACGAUGGUGUUUGGUAUUAUGAAGUCAAUAACCUAAAUUCUAUCAACGAAAAUGUUAUUCCUUUUUUCAAAAAAUUUGGUUUUUUAUCUGCCAAAAAAAAACGUGAUUUUGCUAAAUUUAAAAAGUUGGCAAUUAUGUUGAAUAAUGGAGAACAUUUAACUGAAGAUGGAUUGAAAAAUAUCCUUAAAAUCAGAAAAGAUAUGAAUGAUGGUGGUGCAGGAAGACGAAAGUAUUCUGAAACAGAUAUUUUAAAUGAAAUGAAUUUGGGAAAAUCCUCAGAGACUACACGCCAAGCAAACACGAAAUGAAAUAAUAUUGCCGCUAAUUUCGUGGAUGAUGAUAUAGUCCGGUCUCUAUAGCGAUAUAGAGGGCUUAAAUGUAUUUUUUAAGUCGCAUUAGAUAUUUUAAAUAUCUGCUGUAACAUGACGAACGGUCCUAAGGUAGCGAAAUUCCUUGUCGGGUAAGUAACUUGCCCCACUAUCUCGUGAGAGAUAGACGAAAAAACCAGCUCAUAUCGGAGAAACCU